rnacentral:rRNA from 1 species
GAUGAACGCUGACAGAAUGCUUAACACAUGCAGUCACUGCUUGUGGCGGACGGGUGAGUAACGCGUAAAGCACUUGCAUCACAGCUAGGGACAACAUUAGGAAACGAAUGCUAAUACCUAAUACUGUGAGAGAGCUUUGCGUCCCAUUAGCUAGUUGGAGAGGUCACGGCUAACCAAGGCGAUGAUGGGUAGCCGGCCUGAGAGGGUGAUCGGCCACAAGGGGACUGAGACACGGCCCUUAUUCUUACGGGAGGCAGCAGUGGGGAAUAUUGGACAAUGGACCAAAGGUUGAUCCAGCAAUUCGGGGUGAACGAUGAAGUUUUCGGAAUGUAAAGUGCUUUCAGUUGGGAAGCGGUACCAACAGAAGAAGUGACGGCUAACUACGUGCCAGCAGCCGCGGUAAUUC